UGUAAUUUGUUGUAUGAGCAUAUAAAAUUUUGAUUUUUAAGGUUUAAGUUUGAUUCUUAAAGUUACAU